rnacentral:rRNA from 1 species
GACGAACGCUGGCGGCGUGCCUAAUACAUGCAAGUAGGACGCAGUUGCGAACGGGUGAGUAACGCGUAGGUAACUACCUAUUAGAGGGGGAUAACUAUUGGAAACGAUAGCUAAUACCGCAUACUAGUAGAUGGACCUGCGUUGUAUUAGCUAGUAGGUAGGGUAAUGGCCUACCUAGGCAACGAUACAUAGCAGACUCGGGAGGGAUAUCGGCCAAACUGUGACUGGGACACUGGCCAGACUCCUACGGGAGGCAGCAGUAGGGAAUCUUUGGACAUGGGGGGAACCCUGAACGAGCAACGCCGCGUGAGUGAAGAAGGUUUUCGGAUCGUAAAGCUCUGUUGUGAAGGAAGCGGUACUUAACCAGAAAGGGACGGCUAACUACGUGCCAGCAGCCGCGGUAAUUC